UGUUAGAUAAAUGGUGUUCUGAGUUCGAUGUUUGUUGUUUCGGUGAGAAUUAUUAUUUUAAUUUGAAAGGCUAUCCCGGAAGUAUUCUAAUCAUCCACACUAUGAGCUUGACGCAAGUUACCGGAGUUAAGCAAUUUAAUUUUGGCGUUUGACUGAGUAGGGCACAAGGUUUGUAUAUGUUUCCUCUGUGACUUGAUAUAUUUUGUCUUUACUUUAUUGAGACGGACAGCAUGUGGGGAAUAUUUUUGUUUUAGUGCGUUUGGCUUUCGACUUGACAAGCAUAGCGAACUUUGCUAACGGUAUGGGUCUCAGUAAAUACGUGUCAAAUAUUUUCCGUUUAUCCGUUUGUUUCAGCUCUUAUGGUGAUUCACCUUCAAUGUUCGACGGCAAUUAAAGCAGAGGUGAACAUCAGUUGGAGAGACGGCUCAUCUUUUUAUUUCAGUCAAAGACGCCACAGUAAGAGCUUACCCGCAUCUCCGACGUGCAUGAACGAGAGGAUUUGAUGCUUCCCUGUGAAAAUUCACGACAUACCCAUCUAAAUGGAAACUUCUGAUGACAUAGCAAUGGACAUACAAAACGGGGAUCUUGAUGAAAACGGUGAAAUUCGUCGAUCCUGUCGUCCGAAGAUUCCCACGGAAAGGAUGCGUGAAUAUCAAGAGGAGGAAACUCAAAAAAGGGAAAGAAGGCUAAUUCAGCUGUAUGAAAAAUGGAAGAUGGAGGCAAGAUCAGCUCGGAAGCAAUUGAAGUCAGACUUGGAUGAAAGUGAAAUAGUGUCACUCAUUGACAACCUGGAGAAAUGUAAGGAAGAUGUUGAUAACAUCUAUAUUAAGAUAAGGAAAUAUAUUUCUCCAAGCAAUGAAACGAGACGGCGUGUUGAUGCAUGUGAAGCCGUCACAAGGGACAUUAUGAAGAUAGCUCAGGAACGACUUGUUGGCCUAGACGGAGAUUACGAUCCAGAAACUGUGAAGCACCGCCUUCAUGAGCUUUCAAAGUGUGAUUACGCUCACUCAAUUUAUGGUUCAACAGUGUCACCCUCCAGUCUACACUCAAGCAGUUCAAGUCAAAGUUCCAUUCUAGCAGCCAAAAGAACAGAAGCUGCAGCAGAACUUGCAGCCAAGGAAGCUGAGUAUGAAGGGAAAUUAAAGGAGGAAAUGCAAAGACAAAGAAUACAACGUUUGGAAGAACAACAGAAAAGAGAACUGCUAAAUCAGAAAGGCGAGUUAGACAGACUUAAAGCAGAGGCUGACAUAAGAGCUGCAAGAGCAAGAUUGGAAGUGUACAAUCAAGAAGUCAACGUACACUCCUAUGAUUACGAAACUAAAAUGUAUGAGGGAGUGUUUCCUGAACGUCCUGUACAAUCAACACCAGGCCAGCACCACUCUAAAGCUCCGCCAGCUUCACCUCCUCCGCCCGCAGAUGUGUCAUUUCUGGCUCAAACACUACAAGACAGCAUCGCCCUGAACCGGCUACCAAUGCCUGAACCUACCGUUUUCUCUGGCGACCCGAUACAGUUCAAUGAAUGGAAGGCCUCAUUCGUAUCUCUCAUUGACAGGAAGAAUAUUUCAUCAGCCGAAAAACUUCACUAUCUGAGAAGAUACGUCAGUGGUGAAGCUCGAAAAACACUGGAAGGCAUUUUCUACAGAGAUGAUGAUGAUGCAUAUAAGGAUGCCUGGCUUCGUCUCAACCACAGGUACGGUCAGCCCUUUACUAUUCAAAGAGCAAUCAGAGAAAAACUGAAAAACUGGCCAAAACUCCAGCCCAAAGAUGCAGGAGGAUUCAGAGCAUUAGCAGACUUUCUCCAAACAUGUCUGGAAGCCAUUCCUCAUGUCAAGGGUUUAAACAUAUGAAAUGAUUGUGAGGAGAAUCAAAAAUUAGUCAAGAAACUACCAGAUUGGGCCGCAUCACGCUGGAACCGACAUGUCACUCAGGUGAUCAAUGAAAGGCAGGAAUUUCCAGAAUUCAAGGAAUUUGUCUCAUUCAUGCAUAUGGAAGCUGAGAUUGCGUGUAAUCCCAUAACUUCCUUUCACGCACUGAAUUCAAGUGAGACGCAUGCAGACAAACUCCCAUCAAAAGAGAGAAGAAACAGGUCCAAUGUUCUCCAUACACAGACCUCCACGGAAACUCAUCCACCUUCAAAAACAAAUGCAAACCCUCUGUGCAUGUUCUGUCUCAGUAUUAGCCAUCGUCUACACCGAUGUCCAAACUUCAGACGCACCUCACUAGAUGAAAGGCAAGAAUUUGUGAAAGACAAACGUCUCUGUUUUGGUUGUCUAAAACCUGGACACAGUGCGAAGGAGUGCCACCACAAACAUAUCUGCGACAACUGUAAAGGAAGACAUCCAACUCAGCUCCAUGAUGACAACUUCUGCAAAGGGAAACCAAAGCUUGUGUCACCCCAACCAGACAUGGAAACGGCAACAACACAGUCUCUGCACACAAGAACUGAAGACUCAUCGAUCCACACAUCCAUGAUUGUUCCAGUUUGGAUCUCUUUAAGCCACAAUCCAGUUACAGAGAAGCUAGUUGCCAGCACUUGCCACAGAGUUGCUGUCAAGGAACUUCCCCCGGUGACACCACUAGAUGUUAUUAAGGUUCUGGAGUCUGAUUUCAAGGACACAGACAAGAGUGAAAAUUCGUUCUCUCAAGAUGACAUUCUCUUUCUCAAUAUAAUGAGGGAAAACAUCAGCAAAAAUGAUCAAGGACAUUAUGAAAUGCCGCUACCAUUUAAGGAAAGACCACAUCUCCCGAACAACAGACAACUUGCAGUCGUGCGACUAGGCCACCUGAAAAAGAAAUUACUGAGGGAUGAAAUGUACAAAGAACAUUAUGUGAAGUUCAUGAGUGAAGUCAUUGACAGAGGUGAUGCAGAAGAAGUGCACCAAGGUGGAAAGGAAGGAGAAAGGUGGUACAUUCCACACCAUGGAGUUUAUCACACCAAAAAACCAAGUAAGCUCCGUGUGGUCUUCGACUGUUCUGCAAGAUACCAAGGAACAAGCCUCAAUGAACAUCUUCUUCGAGUUUCAUGUGCCUGAACCUGACAGAGACUACCUACGUUUCCUUUGGUGGAAAAAUGGAGAUCUUACAGCAGAGCCUUCCGAAUACAGAAUGAAGGUCCAUCUCUUUGGUGCAGCAUCAUCGCCUGGAUGUGCCAACUACGGACUCAAACAUCUGGCAAAAGAGAACCAAGGUCAGUUUCCUCUUGGAUCACAGUAUAUCAUGAAAGACUUUUAUGUUGACGAUGGUGUUACAAGUGUGGCAGAUGCGAGCCAAGCUGUUCAGCUUGCACAGGAGGCAACACAACUGUGUGCUUUAGGUGGUCUAAGACUCCAUAAAUUUGUGUCCAACAGCAAGCUUGUUCUUGAAAGUUUACCACAGUCUGAAUGUGCCAUUCACUUACAAGAUCUUGAUUUGAAUCUCAAUGAGCCCAAAACAGAACGAGCUCUGGGGAUACAUUGGCACCCUGAGUCUGACACUUUGAGAUUUCAAAACUACCUGAAAGGACAACCUGAAUCACGGCGUGGGAUACUGUCCACAGUUGCCUCAAUUUACGACCCACUUGGUCUAAUCGCUCCAGUCUUGCUUGUUGGAAAAAGAGUGCUUCAGGAGACUUGUAAACGUGGAAUUAGCUGGGAUGAACCACUUGUCAGCCCACUACAAGCUACGUGGGAACAAUGGAAAGGUAAGCUGAAUAGACUGAAUUCAAUCUCAGUUGCUCGUUGUUUCAUUCCCUCUGACUUUGGACACACAGUAAAAAGAGAGCUACAUCACUUUUCUGAUGCUAGCACAUAUGGGUAUGGCCAAUGCUCAUACCUACGACUGUUAAAUGAUGCAGGAGAUGUCCACUGUACUCUGAUUAUGGCCAAGUCCAGAGUUGCGCCAAUCAAAGUUGUAACGGUCCCCAGACUAGAACUGAGUGCAGCAGUUGUUUCAGUUUCAAUCAGUCACAUAUUGAAGGAAGAACUUGAUCUUGAGGGAGCGGAGGAGUACUUUUGGACGGAUUCCAAAGUCGUCUUGGGUUAGAUCAACAAUGAGGCUCGACGUUUUCAUACAUUUGUCUCAAACAGAGUACAGAAAAUACGCCUCAUGACCACCCCGCAGCAAUAGCGAUACAUAUCGUCAGAAGAAAACCCUGCUGACCUUGCCUCCCGGGGCUCCACUCAUUACUUCAGGCUGGUUUUCAGGACCACAGUUUCUAUGGCAAAGGGAGCUACCUCCGGAAAUAGAGUUCAUACCUGAUGUACAAAUUGGAGACCCUGAAGUGAAAGGUGUACAACCUCUCAAUGUACAGUGUACUGAGCAAACAAAUCUGUUGGAGAAACUCUCAAAGUUCUCCUCUUGGAGCAAGGUCACUCAAGCAAUCGCUCGUCUAAUCCGCCGUGCCAAGGGUGACACAUCAACGGACCUCAGCACUGUUCAGGAGAGAGAGGAAGCAAAAUGUUUAAUCAUCCAGCGUCUACAAGCGCAAGAAUAUUCACAAGAGAUCAAAACACUGAAAAGAGGAAAUCUACUGUCACCACAGAGUCAACUUUACAAGUUUGAUGCCUUUCUUGAUCAGGACGGAAUACUCAAGGUGGGAGGACGACUUAGAAAUUCAUCUCUCCCAACAUUUCAAAAGCAUCCAACUUUGCUUCCAAAGAAUCACUACAUCACCAAGCUGAUCAUUGCUCAUUAUCACUCGACGAUCAAGCAUCAAGGAAAAGGCAUGACAAUGAACGAGAUCAGAGCCAACGGGUAUUGGAUUCCAGGUCUUAACGGAACGUCGCCUCACUAAUUCAUCACUGCGUCACAUGUCGAAAGCUAAGAGGAAGCACAGAAGAGCAGAGAAUGGCUGAUUUACCAUCUGAACGUUUGGAUCCUUCACCACCAUUCACAUACUGUGGAAUGGACUGCUUCGGUCCAUUUCUCACAAAACAAGGACGAAAGACAAACAAGAGAUAUGGACUCUUAUUUACUUGCCUGUAUUCUCGUGCAAUCCAUAUUGAGAUGUUGGUGGACAUGUCAUCUGAUGCAUUCAUCAACGCCCUUCGAUGUUUUAUUGCUCUGAGAGGAACUGUGCGUCAGAUAAGGUGUGAUCAUGGCAGUAAUUUUGUCGGCGCAAAGCAUGAACUCACUCAAGCUCUAAAGGAACUUGACUGCAACAGACUGGCUACCUAUUUAGCGGAUAGACAGUGUGACUUUAAAAUGAAUGCUCCCCAUGCCAGUCACGCAGGAGGUGUAUGGGAGCGACAAAUCCGAACAGUCAGAAAUGUUCUCAGUGCUACACUUUCGCUCUCAUCUGACAGAUUAGACGAUAGUUCACUGCGGACCUUCUUCUACGAAGCUAUGUUCAUUGUGAACAGUCGCCCCCUCACAGUUGAAAACCUCAGUGAUCCAAACAGCCUUGAACCGCUAACGCCUAAUCAUCUAAUCACCAUGAAAUCAUCUGUGGCUUUACCUCCACCUGGCAAGUUCAUCAAAGAGGACACGUAUGCUCGAAAGCGAUGGCGUCGCGUUCAGUUUCUCUCGAACAGUUUUGGAGUCGAUGGAAGGGGGAAUAUUUGAGCAACAUCUCGACACGUCAACGUUGGUACAAAAUAAGAAGGAAUCUUCGUGUAGGAGACAUUGUCCUGGAGAAGUCACUGGACCAUCCACGAAGUGAAUGGAAAUUGUCAAAGGUGGUUCAGACAGUGACGGACAAGGACGGACUCGUAAGAAGAGUGAAGAUACAAGUUGCUGAUCAGAAGAUUGGGCCAGCUGGACAACGUUUUGGCAAGAUAUCAGUUGUGGAACGACCAGUUCAUAAGUUGAUCCUUCUGGUGGAGACUGCAUAAUUGACAAUGUUAUUUAGAGACAUAUCCUUAAUAAGUGAUGUUUAACGGAUAUUAAUGACAUCAUCUAAAGUGGACUGAAAGCAUUUAAGUAAAUCAUUCGUUUAUUUAUGUGAAUCAGUUACACUCAUGAUUGGUGGGAGUGUAACAGAUUUAAUGUUAGAUAAAUGGUGUUCUGAGUUCGAUGUUUGUUGUUUCGGUGAGAAUUAUUAUUUUAAUUUGAAAGGCUAUCCCGGAAGUAUUCUAAUCAUCCACACUAUGAGCUUGACGCAAGUUACCGGAGUUAAGCAAUUUAAUUUUGGCGUUUGACUGAGUAGGGCACAAGGUUUGUAUAUGUUUCCUCUGUGACUUGAUAUAUUUUGUCUUUACUUUAUUGAGACGGACAGCAUGUGGGGAAUAUUUUGUUUUAGUGCGUUUGGCUUUCGACUUGACAAGCAUAGCGAACUUUGCUAACGGUAUGGGUCUCAGUAAAUACGUGUCAAAUAUUUUCCGUUUAUCCGUUUGUUUCAGCUCUUAUGGUGAUUCACCUUCAAUGUUCGACGGCAAUUAAAGCAGAGGUGAACAUCAGUUGGAGAGACGGCUCAUCUUUUUAUUUCAGUCAAAGACGCCACAAAAAUACGCUUAAAAUGUGCCAACUAUGUUAAUUUGUUAGUAAUAAUACGCUUAAUGUAUGAUGUGCUUUUGAUUUAAAAGAAGCAGGAUGUAUGUUGUUGUUAUUUUUCCUGUAAAAUGAUUGAAAUCUACAUCAUACAUGUAGGGAGCAACUCAGUGAAAAACAGCAACCAAUCAAUCAUAACUACUGGAAUUUGUUUAUUGGCAGUAUGUAUUUCAUCUGCCUAUACUUGAUAUCUGUACAAUCCAAAGUAUAACACAAUGCAAUACUUAUUUCUGUGAACAACUGACAUCGUCCAGAAGUCAUAUCUUCACUGAUAAAAUGUUCCUGUAACAAGAUACUAGGGUUUUAUUUGUACAUGAUGUCUUGUAGGUAAGAAUGCUGUGAACAAACUUGAUCUACAUGUAAUUGAAUACCACAAUUUAACAAACCAGUAAAGCUGACGGGAGGCAGAGGACGUGAAGCUCUUGUCCAUGCUGAGGAAUUCAUGGCCAAUCCAUCCACUGAGAGUCCAUAAUCAGUGAGCAGCUCCUCCAGUUAGAAAGGAAUUUCAUGAUCUUAUUUAACAUUGUGUGUGUGAGUAUCUGGUUUAUCCUACUAAAGUGUCCACCAACUUUGUCAUGAGCCUCCUCGUGUUGUACCAUUUGGUUAUUCCUUACCAUCGCACCAGCACUUGGCUAUGGGUUUUUCCAUAUGUGUGACUUUAACUCAGCCUUGUUGUUACUCAUCACACUUCUGUUGUUUACAUUAGCAGACCUCGUCUGGUCAGCUAGCUUCUCUUUGAAUGUCUUUAAAACAUCUUGAAAACAAAAAACGAAAAACGAAUAGCUCACAAAUCAAGACCAACAGGUGAAACCUGCUGCUAAUAAAUAAAGAUUAGAGACAUUUUGUUAAAGAGUAACCCAUCAGGAGGUGA